rnacentral:rRNA from 1 species
ACUUCCGUAAGGGGUACCUGCGGAGGGAUCAUUACUGAGUUUACGCYYYWWWACCCUUUGUGAACAUACCUAUAACUGUUGCUUCGGCGGGUAGGGUCUCCGUGACCCUCCCGGCCUCCCGCCCCCGGGCGGGUCGGCGCCCGCCGGAGGAUAACCAAACUCUGAUUUAACGACGUUUCUUCUGAGUGGUACAAGCAAAUAAUCAAAACUUUUAACAACGGAUCUCUUGGUUCUGGCAUCGAUGAAGAACGCAGCGAAAUGCGAUAAGUAAUGUGAAUUGCAGAAUUCAGUGAAUCAUCGAAUCUUUGAACGCACAUUGCGCCCGCCAGCAUUCUGGCGGGCAUGCCUGUUCGAGCGUCAUUUCAACCCUCAAGCUCUGCUUGGUGUUGGGGCCCUACAGCUGAUGUAGGCCCUCAAAGGUAGUGGCGGACCCUCCCGGAGCCUCCUUUGCGUAGUAACUUUACGUCUCGCACUGGGAUCCGGAGGGACUCUUGCCGUAAAACCCCCAAUUUUCCAAAGGUUGACCUCGGAUCAGGUAGRAAUACCCGCUGAACUUAAGCAUAUCAAUAGGCCGGAGGGAAU